GUGACAGAGGGGGGAUCGAGGCGAUCGCGAUGCGGCCUGCGUGGGUGGUGCGAGGGGAUCCAAUCGACGCACGCGUGAUUGAUUUUCCUUGGGGAUAAGGCCGACCCGCGCGAGGGGAUCUCGUGGCGCAUGAUGCCGGUGACGCUUCAUCUGAUAUGGAAACUGCUCCGCUGACACUUGAAAGAUGCAAUCACACUUCAGUUUUGGAGCGCGCAUUCAUGGCGGCUGCCUAUCCUUUCCGAUGCCGAGGAGUACAUGUACGUGUAUAUAUCCCUCCUUUCCUGUCACUCUUCGCCCACCCUUUCCACUCCAGAGCAGCACAACAUCUUUCAGCAAGCCGAGGCAGGCCACGGCGACUGAUCCCCGUCGAGUGCACGGCCGUCUCAGUCGCCGGGCAUGCGGGUCAGGGCCGUCAGGCAUGCCGCGACACUUGGAUUUCGUGGGAGCAGCGAAGCAGCCCUAUUGUUGUUCGGUGAAGCAGAUGGCUGAAUCUCAUCUGCCGGGUUGAAAGAGGAGAUGAAUCAUCAGUUCUUGGAAGCGUUAACGGCAACUGAUGACCUGCAGCUGCUUGACUUCAUGCACCUGAAUAAUUUGUACAGGGCUUUGUCAAUCCUGGAUCUGGUCAACUAUUUAAUUCAGACAGAUCAUGGAGGCUGGUUCUCAUAUUUUGCUUGGUGAAUUCUUCAAUGCACAAUUUGCCAUGGCUGCUGAUCAGGUAAUUAGUUCACUCGCAGGACUGCCCACGUUAUCUCUUCACGCAAAUAUAAUCCAACAUAGUCUAUUUCCGUCACAAGCUUCAUCCAAAUGCUAACUGAACUUCAACAUAAACCAGUUGCUUGUUUUGCUGUCUAAAGUUAUUUCAGACUUAGAACAUUUUGCUGUUUAGAGGUAGCUUUUCUGUAAAAAAGUUGUCGUGCUGCUAUAAUACUAACAUGUCACAAAUUGUCACGAGAUGUUUAGAUAAAUCUGAUUGAGUUAACAAGUUUAUCAUGAUGUAAUAUAUGCACUGUGAUACAUUCUGCUAUACUGGUUCGUUGCUUGAUUUGUCAAUGUCA